rnacentral:misc_RNA from 1 species
GAUGAAGAACGCAGCGAAAUGCGAUAAGUAAUGUGAAUUGCAGAAUUCAGUGAAUCAUCGAAUCUUUGAACGCACAUUGCGCCCGCCAGUAUUCUGGCGGGCAUGCCUGUUCGAGCGUCAUUUCAACCAUCAAGCCCCCGGCUUGUGUUGGGGACCUGCGGCUGCCGCAGGCCCUGAAAACCAGUGGCGGGCUCGCUGUCACACCGAGCGUAGUAGAUUUUCAUCUCGCUCAGGGCGUGCUGCGGGUUCCGGCCGUAAAAAGCCUUAUUUACCCAAGGUUGACCUCGGAUCAGGUAGGAAGACCCGCUGAACUUAAGCAUAUCAAAAGCGGAGGA